rnacentral:ribozyme from 1 species
UGGUAAGCACCAUUCUCGCCGAAGCAAUAGAGAAGUUGCAGCUGCUCGCGAUGAUAUCGAACGAUACGAAGAGCCGCGGCCACCAGAAGCGCUCCAAGACCGACAUGCACGUGCUGCUGCAGAGGAGGGCGGAACUCGAGACGAGGUACUAC